UUUCCGUAGGUGAACCUGCGGAAGGAUCAUUAUUAGAUAUUGAAACUUCAGGCUGCUGCUGGCUUUCCUCGGAGGCAUGUGCACCCUUGUUGUCUAUUAUUUCUCCCACUGUGCACAAAUUGUAGACCUUUCAGUAGGCCUAUGUUGUUUUUCACAAUCUCUAGAUGUAAUAGAAUGGUUUUGAAUCUUGGGAAAUACAAUACAACUUUCAGCAACGGAUCUCUUGGCUCUC
rnacentral:misc_RNA from 1 species